rfam:Myotis lucifugus cont2.4784, whole genome shotgun sequence.
AGCUUUGCACAGUGGCAGUGUCAUAGCCAAUGAGUUUUAUCCAAGGCACGAUUAUUGCUAAUUGAAAAUUUAAUUUCUGUACAGUAAUUCUGUUUUGUGAACAUAGUGUUAUAUGUAUAUAUUUACUUAUUGAGGAGUG